UACAGAGGGUGCAAGCGUUGUUCGGAAUUAUUGGGCGUAAAGCGCGUGCAGGCGGCAUGGCAAGUCGGGUGUGAAAGCCCUCAGCUCAACUGAGGAAGUGCGCCCGAAACUGCUUUGCUUGAGUGCUGGAGAGGGUCGCGGAAUUCCCCAAGUAGAGGUGAAAUUCGUAGAUAUGGGGAGGAACACCGGUGGCGAAGGCGGCGACCUGGACAGUAACUGACGCUGAGACGCGAAAGCGUGGGUAGCAAACAGG
rnacentral:rRNA from 1 species